GAUACCCCACGAUUAACCCAACCUACCCUAGCCAAUCAGUCUAUAUACCGCCGUCGCCAGCCCACCUCAUGAGAGAACAACAGUGGGCCAAAUAGUCAUGACACUAGAACGACAGGUCAAGGUGUAACUAAAGAGUAGGACUAAGAUGGGCUACAUUUUCUAACACAGAAUAAACGAAUUCAACUAUGAAAAAGAAACUGAAGGCGGAUUUAGCAGUAUAUUAAGAACAAAAUACUUAAUUGAAAUCAAUGCAAUGGAGUGCGCACACACCGCCCGUCAUCCCUGCUNACCAAAUAAACACAUUCAUAAUAAAACAUAAAACUAAACCCAGGGCAAGUCGUAACAUGGUAAGCGUACU
rnacentral:rRNA from 1 species